GAUGAACGCUGGCGGCGUGCCUAAUACAUGCAAGUCGAGCGAACAGACGAGGAGCUUGCUCCUCUGACGUUAGCGGCGGACGGGUGAGUAACACGUGGAUAACCUACCUAUAAGACUGGGAUAACUUCGGGAAACCGGAGCUAAUACCGGAUAAUAUAUUGAACCGCAUGGUUCAAUAGUGAAAGACGGUUUUGCUGUCACUUAUAGAUGGAUCCGCGCCGCAUUAGCUAGUUGGUAAGGUAACGGCUUACCAAGGCAACGAUGCGUAGCCGACCUGAGAGAGUGAUCGGCGACACCGGAACUGAGACACGGGCCAGACUCCUACGGGAGGCAGCAGUAGGGAAUCUUCCGCAAUGGGCGAAAGUCUGACGGAGCAACGCCGCGUGAGUGAUGAAGGUCUUCGGAUCGUAAAACUCUGUUAUUAGGGAAGAACAAAUGUGUAAGUAACUAUGCACGUCUUGACGGUACCUAAUCAGAAAGCCACGGCUAACUACGUG
rnacentral:rRNA from 1 species